GACGAACGCUGGCGGCGUGCUUAACACAUGCAAGUCGAGCGGUAAGGCCCUUCGGGGUACGACGAGCGGCGAACGGGUGAGUAACACGUGGGUGACCUGCCUCUAGCUCUGGGAUAAGCCUGGGAAACUGGGUCUAAUACCGGAUAUGACUCCACGGCGCAUGUUGUGGGGUGGAAAGCCUUGUGUGGCUAGAGAUGGGCCCGCGGCCUAUCAGCUUGUUGGUGGGGUGAGGCCUACCAAGGCGACGACGGUAGCCGGCCUGAGAGGCGACCGGCACACUGGGACUGAGACACGGCCCAGACUCCUACGGGAGGCAGCAGUGGGGAAUCUUGCGCAAUGGGCGAAAGCCUGACGCAGCGACGCCGCGUGAGGGAUGACGGCCUGG
rnacentral:rRNA from 1 species